UUAAUUUUGUUUAAUGAAUUCAAGUUCAAACACGACGAUGAACUUAGUGAGAUUAAGGUCAAACCACUAUAAAUUCAUUUUGGGUUUAUGAUUAAACCACUAACUCAACCAAAUGCCAUACCAUUACGAAGAUUCAAGGAUCUCUCAACGAAAGAUUGAACGAAACGCCAGUGGUGCAGAAUCAGAAUGUGCCUGCCGGUGGUGCUCUGCUUUUUUUAUUAUAUCUUCCAAUCAAAGAUUGGACGAAACGUUAGUGGGGCACCUCAAGUGUUCGACGAAAUGCGCCAAAGAGACGUGGGGGCUUUGGAGCGCAAUGUUAAUGCAACUGCCCGUGUCCUGAAAGGCACUUUUCUUGAACUUCUGCCAUGGCUGAAAGUGAAGAGCUUCCUGAGAGAGAUGGUGAGGAACCUAUGAAGAAGAAAGAACAGACCAUUCAAAGGAUUGAUUCAUUAGCUCAUCAUAAGAAGCCUGCAACUUCUUUUUUUUUUUUUCUCAGUGAAGAACAAUCCAAAACAAUGUUCUUCUCUUUUAUCCCCUUCUUGGAC